ensembl:lncRNA
GUUCAGUUAUGCACUCAAUACUUGGUCGGGAAUCCUUUUGCAGAAAUGACUGCUUCAAUGCAGCGUGGCAUGGAGGCAAUCAGCCUGUGGCUCUGCUGAGGUGUUAUGGAGGCCCAGGAUGCUUCGAUAGCGGCCUUAAGCUCAUCCAGAGUGUUGGGUCUUGCGUCUCUCAACUUUCUCUUCACAAUAUCCCACAGAUUCUCUAUGGGGUUCAGGUCAGGAGAGUUGGCAGGCCAAUUGAGCACAGUAAUACCAUGGUCAGUAAACCAUUUACCAGUGGUUUUGGCACUGUGAGCAGGUGCCAGGUCGUGCUGAAAAACGAAAUCUUCAUCUCCAUAAAGCUUUUCAGCAGAUGGAAGCAUGAAGUGCUCCAAAAUCUCCUGAUAGCUAGCUGCAUUGACCCUGCCCUUGAUGAAACACAGUGGACCAACACCAGCAGCUGACAUGGCACCCCAGACCAUCACUGACUGUGGGUACUUGACACUGGACUUCAGGCAUUUUGGCAUUUCCUUCUCCCCAGUCUUCCUCCAGACUCUGGCACCUUGAUUUCCGAAUGACAUGCAAAAUUUGCUUUCAUCCGAAAAAAGUACUUGGGACCACUGAGCAACAGUCCAGUGCUGCUUCUCUGUAGCCCAGGUCAGGCGCUUCUGCCGCUGUUUCUGGUUCAAAAGCACACGCCUGUGCACGGUGGCUCUGGAUGUUUCUACUCCAGACUCAGUCCACUGCUUCCUCAGGGUCCGGUCACCUCUUCUCGUUGUGCAGCGUUUUUUGCCACACUUUUUCCUUCCCACAGACUUCCCACUGAGGUGCCUUGAUACAGCACUCUGGGAACAGCCUAUUCGUUCAGAAAUUUCUUUCUGUGUCUUACCCUCUCGCUUGAGGGUGUCAAUGAUGGCCUUCUGGACAGCAGUCAGGUCGGCAGUCUUACCCAUGAUUGCGGUUUUGAGUAAUGAACCAGGCUGGGAGUUUUUAAAAGCCUCAGGAAUCUUUUGCAGGUGUUUAGAGUUAAUUAGUUGAUUCAGAUGAUUAGGUUAAUAGCUCGUUUAGAGAAUCUUUUCAUGAUAUGGUAAUUUUUUGAGAUAGGAAUUUGGGGUUUUCAUGAGCUGUAUGCCAAAAUCAUAAGUAUU